ACAAAGACGUGGAUCUGUUCAAAUGUGAAGUGUCUCAUGGAGUGAACAAGAAGAUCUUCUCUCUCAGAUCCAACAAACCAGAGGAAGCUCAAACUACAGCCUCUCCACAGAACAAGAGCACAUAUGGAGGUAAAGGAAACACUACGUCUGACCUGACACAGGACAGAGUGUGGGUUGGCUGUGGGCUGUGGUGGUGGUUGUAGCUGCAGUACUUCUCACUGUGGUGGUUCUGGU